GACGAACGCUGGCGGCGUGCUUAACACAUGCAAGUCGAACGGUAAGGCCCUUCGGGGUACACGAGUGGCGAACGGGUGAGUAACACGUGGGUGAUCUGCCCUGCACUUCGGGAUAAGCCUGGGAAACUGGGUCUAAUACCGGAUAGGACUCCGGACUGCAUGGUCUGGGGUGGAAAGCUUUUGCGGUGUGGGAUGGGCCCGCGGCCUAUCAGCUUGUUGGUGGGGUGAUGGCCUACCAAGGCGACGACGGGUAGCCGGCCUGAGAGGGUGACCGGCCACACUGGGACUGAGGUACGGCCCAGACUCCUACGGGCGGCAGCAGUGGGGAAUAUUGCACAAUGGGCGCAAGCCUGAUGCAGCGACGCCGCGUGAGGGAUGACGGCCUUCGGGUUGUAAACCUCUUUCAGCAGGGACGAAGCGCAAGUGACGGUACCUGCAGAAGAAGCACCGGCCAACUACGUGCCAGCCGCCGCGGUAA
rnacentral:rRNA from 1 species